GUGAUAAUUGUAUAGCUGUUUUGUUCUACUUCUGUUUGUGGUUAAUAGUUUCGUGGUAAAUGUCAUCGCCAAAACACUUGCUGUAAACGGUUUAAAAUUGAUUGAACCCAUCUACAUGUCAUGUAUUUUUGUAUAACUAAUGUACAAGAUUACAUUGGUUGUAUGUUGAACAAUUUUUAUGCCAUUUUGUCAAAGCCAUGCUAGAACAUGAACAACAUUCUUGCGGAUUUAGUUUUAGAAGACUAAUUCCAGUAACAUUUAUGAUCAUAUUUGUACGAAUAAAACCAAUAAAAUAUGCUGUAAAUAAAUAAACGUAUACUAUUUCGUAGGUGACAAAAGGCGGAAGACAAAAAUUUGACAGUGUGAAGUCAUUGUUAAAUUCUACUCCCAUCUUGUUUUGUAUGAAAGCAUCAAAGUCUGGGCCAAAAUGUAAGUUCAGUACCUACAGCAAUUGUAAAUUUACUUUAAGAAAUUAGUGCCGAAUUUAGUAUAUUUGAUAUACUGCCAGGUCAAGUUGUUCGAAAAAAAUUAUAAGCAUAUCCCAAUUGACCAUUCACAGGUAUAUUAAUUGAAGUUUUGUAAAGUAAGUAUUGUAAUAUUAUAUUACAAAAUAUGUGUUUUUAUAGCUUUAUAUCAAUGGUGAAUUAUUAACAUCAAUAUCUUAUUAAUAUAAAAAAUCUAACCUAGAGAUAUAAUUUUGAAUACCAUUCUCGGUUAAAGAAUUUGGAGAUUUUAGAUUUCAGUCUCCAGUAUUUUCUAAAUUUUUUUUUGAAUUCUUAAAAUUCAUUUGCCCGUAGGCGCUCACGUCCCCCUUCACAGUUUUUUCAUUUAUUUUAAUGUAAUUAAUUUUUUUGUAUACAUUUUUUAAACUUUGAUAACCAGUCGGUGCCCUCUAAAAUAAUCAAUGUUUAAUGAGCUAAUUAUUUUGAAUACUAUUUUCAGUUUAAGUAUUUGGAGAUUGUAGACUGCAGUCUUUAGAGUGUGUCCUAAUAACUUGACUAUAUAAUAGUUUGGUAAAUCUGAACAACCUUAUAGCGAUCUCGGAAGCAAUUUUAAAAUACCGUCAAUCCUUCUAUUUUUAUAUUAUAAAUAACUGUUUUGUUUUUUCCUUGUAUAUAUUUAAGUACAAUACACAGUAUACGAUAUAUGUAUAAUUUUUUAUUACCGCCAUAUACGUUUACUCGUAUAUAAUAUACGAACAAUAUAGGAUGUGGACGUCAACAUUAAGAAAGUCAUCAUUCAAUAAAUCGAAGAAUCAAGAUCAUCCGUUGGAUCACAAGGUACCUAUAUAUACAUUAAAGCCAUGUGAUGUGAAAGUUAAAUAUCCACUAGUAUAUGAACUGCGAAGACGACAAAACUGAGAGCAGCUUCUGAUGAGGAUAUCUGAGAUGUAUGUACGUGACAGAAGAUUGCUAUAUGACUGUCGAAGAGAAAGUGUCAUACUACGAGACCGGCAAAUACAAGUUAAGCAUACUAAUCCCUCCUACUUGUAUAAGCACGAUAAAACAAUUCGAAAAAAUACAAAAAAUAGAGUAAGGACAAAGGUCAAAACACAUAAACGGAUUAUUUAUAAACAAUAUACAUAUUAUGUAAAAAGAACAAAACAAAACACGUUAAAUGUUAAUACUUUAGCAGAUAGGUCUUAGAAUAACAACAUUCGAUAUGAAACAUAAUAUAUAAGGAAUAAGGAUAUAUUAUUAUAUAGGAGUAUAGGACCUAUAUAUAAAGGCACCAAUGGUGAAAUAUCUUCACGGCCUCAAGCGUGUAAUAUAAUAGUGGAAACCUAAAUAUAUUAUAAAAAUUAAAAAUUGAUAAUAUUACAAACAUAGAAUGCAAUGCACAAACGGUGAACUAUACUAAAACGAUAAUUAGGUAUGCAUUAGAAAACUUGUGAAGAUUUAACAAGUAAAGUAUUAUUUCAUUCUUCAAAAAACCAUGGUAUCUGAGCACAAAAAGGAUAUUUCGGUAUUAAUGAAUUCCCAACGUAAUUAUUUCGAUAGAAACCCCCAUUAAUUUAACGAAAUAAAUUAUCUUUCUAUUAUAUAUUAUUAUUUACUAAUUACAUAAUAAGUAGACCAGAAGUGUAUCAUUUAAGAUUAGUAAUUACGACAAUACUUUAUUUUCAUAAACACAAUUUUGUCUAAAAAUGUACUUGCCUUUAACAAAAUGAUGACAAAUAAUACCAAUAGUUACAAUUUAAAGAUAGAUAAUACUAAAUAAUACAUACAAUAAAGUGAAAACAUAAUUGUUUGAGAUGAUAGGAGUAUUAGAAAUAUUUUUUCUAUUUUUGCAAAAAAAUCACCUAAAUAAUUUUUUUUUUUAAUUGAGCAUUACUAUUUAACUAUUAUAGCUCAACAGUUACAACUAACAUAGAUAAAUUAUAUUACCGAAAAACGAUCAUAAUAUUAUAAAAAAUAAAGAAAAAGUUUUUAUUUUCUUGAACAAAUGCAUGAGUAGUAUUAAUACCUAGGCACCAAAACAUUUAUUUUGCGUUUAUAUUGUUACAAUAUUUGUUGGGUAGUACAUCUUAAAAGAAAUUUGAGUAGAUUUAGCUAUGAACAAUUAGAUAAAAUGAUAGCUAUUAUACCUAACAUAAAAAUUAUAUUCAACCUACAAUCCAACCUACAUUAUUCAUUUUAUUCACUGUUUCGGAACUUUUAUUCGUCUUAAGACUCGCUUAUAGGCAUACGAUUUCUCUUCUAUUCUAUAUAAGUAAAUCAUAUAUUCAUUAUAUACCUACCUAUGUUAUAUAUAGUUAUUUAGUAUAUACGGUUCUUAUUUCCGUUCUUUAAAAACGUCUUCAAUAGGUUAGGGUUUUUGUUCGAUAUUUUCAAUGAAGUUAUUUUUUGUGUGUAAGACCAUUAAGACGAAAAAAAGUAUUCAAUUUUUAUAUGAACCAUUGAACCACGAUCCGUUGGUUUGUGCACCUAUACAUAAUUGCACAUACCGCAUUAAUUAUAUAUUUUUUAAUAUUAGUUAAACAGUGCCGGGUGCUUAUUAUACAGAUAUAAUAUAUUAUUAAAUGGACUGCAAAUGACAAUUUAAGUUUGUGGUAUAAUUUAACAUUAAAAUUUAAACCUUUGCAAGUCGUCACCAAUAUCUUUAACGAGUUAAAUUUAGUCCUAAACCUUCUCCUAGCUACUCUAACAUGCCUAGUAAACAAAAUAUGUAAAUAUUAAAAUAUUAUUGUAACCACAUUACUUCUGUUCAUCUAAAAUUACCAAUUGUCAAUUAUCCAUAGUACUUACAAAUAUUUUUAAUUAUCACGUUAAUCUGUUAAAACUAAUAUGUAAAUUGUCAAAAGUCACUAGAUUUAGGUAGCCUCAGGCUAGGAAUGUCUUUUAAAUAAUAAAAAAAAAACAUUACAAUUUUUUAAUCAUUUUGUUUAGAAAUACAGUUAUUUAUAUGAUUUUCAGUUUGCAUAACUCAAUAUAAACGCCAUGUAUUCAUUUUAAACCCGUAAUAAAAAUACACACUUUAUUUGCAAGAUCAUUAAAAUAUACACGUUAGAUUAAUAUUAUAAUGAGGUUCUAAAAAUUCUGAAAAUAGUAUUGAACCUAUAAUUUCUUUAAUAAAAUUAAUAUUGCAAAUUCAAAUACAAGUAUACUUUAAUCAUUUCAUUUUGCAAUUUUUUCAUAGGAAGUUAGUGGAUUUGAGUACUUACAUUAAAAAUAUAAAAUAAAUAAUUGUUUAUUUCAUAAGGUUAUUGACAUUCCUUAUUAUUUGUAUACAUAAUUAUAGUAUUGUGGUAUAAACAUUAAGUUGCGAUACCUAGGUUUUCUAUUAAAAAAAUAUAUCUAUUAUUGAUUAUCCGUAUGUAUAAAACAUAUGUGUUUACACAUAAAGUUGAGUAAGAUUACAAUAUUAAUUUCAUUCAACGCCUUGUUUGGAUAAAUGUUUAUUGGGACGCAGUGGGAUUGCAGCUGCAGGUACGUGAUGUGUAUAAUAUUAAAAAUAUACUAUGAUAUUAUUCAAAAAUAUUGAUUAUAUGCGUUAUUUAUCAAUUAUUGUACCUAUAGACAUUUUUUCUCUAAAUCAUUUGAGUCUCUUUAUUAAAAUUUAUAUAUAGACUGUGCGGGCUUGUUUCAUUGACAAACUUUUAAUUCAUAAUCAUAUAUUUCCCUUUUUAUUGUAGGUAUUUAGCUAUUGUAGCUAUUGUAAAAUUUAGUUUCUAAACUCUUCAAUUUGUAGAAAAUAAAUUAUAUUACACAUUUUAAUAGUAUACAAAAGUAUUAUCAUUAUGUACUAUCAUCGAAUGUUGAGAAUCCAUGUAAGACUGUCGGACAUACCUUGCGUUCCGAAGCCCCACCACAAACUGUUUGAUUUUCGUGUUCACAACAUGAUUCUAGGUCAAAAAUGUAUCGAUACCCUUGACACUCCCGAGUACCUGCCGAUUUUCAAGUCUUCUAUUGUAUACAAUCUUGACUCUUGUCUUUUAGUAUAGGUGUAAUGUACAUUUAAGUGAAUAAUUAAAUAUUUUGUUAUUAAGCGUUAUCUGCAAGUUGUAGUAUUAAUAUCAUUUAUUUUAUAUAUUGUUGAUAUACAUAAUCAAGAUUCAAAAUCUAUUGAUAAAUUAAUUAUUAUUUUAAAAUUUAUAAGUUAUUACAACAAAGAUGUUUAUUCUUACAAAAAAUAUCUUUGACUUGAUUGAUUAUUAAUAACAUUUGAUAACUUACCUAUAUUCAUUGGUUUAUAUAGUUUAGAUAACACCUAUACAUCGUAUAAUAUUAAUAAUUUAUACUUUAUAUGUAGGUACCUACCUAGAAUAUUUAAGUUUUUUUUACAAAUAUUCAAUGUAUACCUAUAGGAUUUGCUGAGUUUUUAUGUGUCAGGCGUGGCAUCCUUACGUGACGUAGGUGGAAAGUAUAGGUAUUCACAAGUCACAAACGACCGACAUAUGUAUCUUAUCAGUUUGUCUUUACGUAUAUAAUAUAAAUAAUAUGCACAUUACUGUGGUAUACCAUAUACGUGUGCAUAACUAUUUUAUUACUGCAUGCAGCAAGACAAAUUUCAGUUGAAUAUUGACUCUCUUUUUUUAAUUCGAGUCUGAAAUAUUGUAGAACAUAUUAUAUACUAUACAUAAUAUAUUGAUUUAAAUUUUAUAAAACCAUUGAUACAUAGAUAAAAACAAUUAAGCUAUACACCUCAAGAGUCACAGCCCAGGGGUCAGAUUUGUAAUUGGUAUGCCUAUACUUAUAUAGUUAAAUGCAACAGCGCAUAGCUAUUUACGCUAUUAUUUUGGCUUCAGUGUGUUUAGCUCCUACACCCCACCGAACAGUCUCCACCAUACAUUACUCAGUAGAAAAUCAUAAAGCCAUAAAGGAUAACAUCAUUAAACUCUUGGUUAGAAUAAUUUAGUUCGGCAUACGUUGUUUAAGUACAUUCGUAUUCACUUCAAAUAAAUGUAUUGCCCAAGGCUGGACUUUCAGUGGUUCACUAGAUCGCAAUCUCAUUGCAUUAAAUCAUUUUUUUUUCAUAAAAUAAUAUUAGGUAUAUACUUAGUAAUUAUAUAAUAUUAAUAAAUAAUAAUAAUAUUAUUUUAGUU